CACGCGGCCGUGGGGCUGUACCGGCUGGUGGAGCAGCAGCCCGGGGGCCGGGAGGUGCUGCAGUGCUGGGACGAGUGCGGCUAGUGCGAAGAAGGUGGUGGUGCAGGGCACGAAUGCUGCCCACCUGAUGGAUCUCCAGGCCCUGGCGCUCAGCCUGGAACUGCCCACGUACCUGGUGCAGGAUGCAGGGAGGACGCAGGUCCCAGCUGGAUCAUGCACUGUCCUUGCCAUCUUGGGAGAAGAAGAAACAGUGAAUAAAGUGACUGGGACGCUGCAGCUUCUAAACUGAAGGCAGCACCAGAGCUGCGUCCUGCCGUACGUGGCAAUGGGCCAUGAGAAGCACCCACUGGCAUCGUCUCUGGCUCUCAGGAACCAGACAGCAGUUCCCUUUUCUGCCUGCUGGCACUGUUAUGGGAAAUGAGGCUGGGGUGAGGAAACAGGGUCUCGGCUUCUGCUUGAGGUAGGAGGUCUUGUUAGCCCUGGACUCCAAGAAGUGGUAUUCCACCCUUUGUAUCACAGGUAGUGGAGGGGAUGCUGCAUAACCCUACCUCCCACUUCCCUCUGACAGACCAGGCUUGUACUGUCUGGGCCACGUAUAAACAAGGUGCAAUUCUGA